UACGGAGGAUGCGAGCGUUAUCCGGAUUUAUUGGGUUUAAAGGGUGCGUAGGCGGACUGUCAAGUCAGCGGUAAAAUUGAGAGGCUCAACCUCUUCCCGCCGUUGAAACUGGUGGUCUUGAGUGGAUGAGAUGUACGCGGAAUGCGUGGUGUAGCGGUGAAAUGCAUAGAUAUCACGCAGAACUCCGAUUGCGAAGGCAGCGUACCGGCAUCCAACUGACGCUGAGGCACGAAAGCGUGGGGAUCAAACAGG
rnacentral:rRNA from 1 species